rnacentral:rRNA from 1 species
CCUACGGGAGGCAGCAGUGAGGAAUAUUGGUCAAUGGGCGUAAGCCUGAACCAGCCAAGUCGCGUGAGGGAUGAAGGUUCUAUGGAUCGUAAACCUCUUUUAUAAGGGAAUAAUGUGUGGGACGUGUCCUAUUUUGUAUGUACCUUAUGAAUAAGGAUCGGCUAACUCCGUGCCAGCAGCCGCGGUAAUACGGAGGAGCCGAGCGUUAGCCGGAUUUAUUGGGUUUAAAGGGUGCGUAGGCGGCCGUUUAAGUCUGGGGUGAAAUUCUGUGGCUCAACGAUAGAAUUGCAGUGGAAACUGGGCAGAGAGAGUGAAGGAGAGGUAAGCGGAAUGCCUAGGGUAGCGGUGAAAUGCGUAGAUAUGAGGAGGAACA